rnacentral:rRNA from 1 species
AAAGGGGGAGCAAUCCCCCCGGUAGAGUGGCGAACGGGUGAGUAAUGCAUCGGAACGUACCCAGUAGCGGGGGAUAACCUCUCGAAAGAGAGGCUAAUACCGCAUACGUCCUACGGGAGAAAGAGGGGGAUCGCAAGACCUCUCACUAUUGGAGCGGCCGAUGUCGGAUUAGCUAGUUGGUGGGGUAAAAGCCUACCAAGGCGACGAUCCGUAGCUGGUCUGAGAGGACGGCCAGCCACACUGGAACUGAGACACGGUCCAGACUCCUACGGGAGGCAGCAGUGGGGAAUUUUGGACAAUGGGCGCAAGCCUGAUCCAGCCAUGCCGCGUGAGUGAAGAAGGCCUUCGGGUUGUAAAGCUCUUUCGGCUGGGACGAAAAGGUCCGGGUUAACACCUCGGAUCCAUGACGGUACCAGCAGAAGAAGCACCGGCUAACUACGUGCCAGCAGCCGCGGUAAUACGUAGGGUGCAGGCGUUAAUCGGAAUUACUGGGCGUAAAGCGUGCGCAGGCGGUUUGCUAAGACAGGUGUGAAAUCCCCGGGCUUAACCUGGGAACUGCGCUUGUAACUGGCAAGCUUGAGUGUGGCAGAGGGGGGUGGAAUUCCACGUGUAGCAGUGAAAUGCGUAGAGAUGUGGAGGAACACCGAUGGCGAAGGCAGCCCCCUGGGCUAACACUGACGCUCAUGCACGAAAGCGUGGGGAGCAAACAGGAUUAGUUACCCUGGUAGUCCACGCCCUAAACUAUGUCAACUGGUUGUCGGGGAAGCAAUUCCUUGGUAACGAAGCUAAC